AGUGAAUUUAAUGUAUCAGUUUUACAAAAAUUAUCAAGGGAGGAUUUCUACACAUCAAGAGAACGUGAUCUGGUUCUCGCGGAAAUCAAAAGGGAUUUACAUGGGAAACUUACCCGAAUGUGAAUCUAUCAUUGAGUACAUUCCAAAUUUCGGCACUGUGUGGACCUGCACAUCUACAGGGUUCAUAAACUACAGGAACCCAGAGCUGAACCCUCAGGAAGAUGUUCCCAUCAUUAUGUAUUAGGACUUCAGAUAUCCUUUGCCGGACUCCAUGUUGGAAGUUGUUCCGGACUUCGAAGAUCCAUGCGCUUAAUUAAACACACACCUU
rnacentral:sRNA from 1 species